rnacentral:rRNA from 1 species
UACGUAGGAUGCAAGCGUUAUCCGGAAUGAUUGGGUUUAAAGCGUGUGUAGGCGGUUUAUUAAGUUAACUGUCAAAGCGUAGGGCUUAACCAGACACCUGCCAUUGAUACUGAAAGACUUGAGUGCGACAGAGGGUGUUGGAAUGUGAGGUGUAGCGGUGAAAUGCUUAGAGAUCGCGAAGAACACCAAUUGCGAAAGCACAUGCCUAUGUCGUAACUGACGCUGAGACACGAAAGCUAGGGGAGCAAACGGG